AUGGAGAAGUUCAUAUGCCCUCACAAGGAAGCUGCAUCCCACCUCGCUGAUGACUAUGUCGAUGCUCGCAGAGGGCAAGUGCCCACUAGAUUCAGAUUUGCGUGGUCAAAGAAUGGGGGAGCUGCCGUGAGCACCUUUUGGGUGUUCAUCUUGUAA
rnacentral:rRNA from 1 species